rnacentral:rRNA from 1 species
AUACGAAGGUCCCAAGCGUUAUUCGGAAUCACUGGGCGUAAAGAGUACGUAGGCGGUUUGGUAAGUCAGGUGAGAAAUCCCGGAGCUCAACUCCGGAACUGCAUCCGAUACUGCCAGACUUGAGUAAUGGAGAGGCAGGUGGAAUUCUCGGUGUAGCAGUGAAAUGCGUGGAUAUCGAGAGGAAGACCAAUGGCGAAGGCAGCCUGCUGGACAUUUACUGACGCUGAGGUACGAAGGCUAGGGGAGCGAAAGGGAGUAGAAACCCCAGUAGUCC